rnacentral:rRNA from 1 species
UACGUAGGGUGCAAGCGUUGUCCGGAAUUAUUGGGCGUAAAGGGCUCGUAGGCGGUCUGUCGCGUCGGCUGUGAAAACCCGGGGCUCAACCCCGGGCCUGCAGUCGAUACGGGCAGACUAGAGUGUGGUAGGGGAGACUGGAAUUCCUGGUGUAGCGGUGAAAUGCGCAGAUAUCAGGAGGAACACCGGUGGCGAAGGCGGGUCUCUGGGCCGAUACUGACGCUGAGGAGCGAAAGCGUGGGGGAGCGAACAGG